CAAGAGUAGUCGCUCAGCUCUCAUUUACCGAGCAGCAGCGAAUUGAUAAUCUUAUACAUCCUUGAGGCAGCGGUUCCUAACCUUUCUUGGGCUAGCCUAUGUCGGCACACAGUGUUGCAAACAGACGUGCGCACAGACGAUGUGGCUUGACGUAAUUCACCAUGGUAACCACCUGUUGCAGUAUGUCUGAGGUUUGAGCGGGAACUCAAGUAAUGUACCUGUGCAGUCACGUGACCGCGGCAUUCAAAGUUGCGCCAGCUCACAUAUUUGCUGCAUUUUAUUUGAACUGGAUUUAUAUAUAUAUAUCUAUAUAUAUCUAUAUAUAUCUAUCUAUAUAUAUAUAUAUAUAUAUAUAUAUAUAUAUAUAUAUAUACAUAUUUUGUUUAAAUCAAUCACUAUUUCAGGCGACCCCAUUUAAAUUCCAGGCGACCCCAAGUUUGAAACACCCUGCCUUGAGGCCCUCUUUCAUAUAAAAGAGAUGGGUCUCCAGCUCACCUCCAUUGCAAUUCCAUGGGGCAGCUCAUCUAACAAAUGAAUUUAAUCCAUAUGUUUCAGAAAUCAGUUAAGCACAGACUGAAUGGACAGCACACACACACACACACACACACACACACACACACACACACACACACACACACACACACACACACACACACACACACACACACACACACACACACACACACACACACACGCCGUAUUGUUACUCUCUAUGGAGUAAAAAUGUACAUAACCAAACUUUGACCAAAAUGAG